rnacentral:rRNA from 1 species
UACGUAGGGUGCAAGCGUUAAUCGGAAUUACUGGGCGUAAAGCGUGCGCAGGCGGCUUUGUAAGUCUGUCGUGAAAUCCCCGGGCUCAACCUGGGAAUUGCGAUGGAGACUGCAAGGCUAGAAUCUGGCAGAGGGGGGUAGAAUUCCACGUGUAGCAGUGAAAUGCGUAGAGAUGUGGAGGAACACCGAUGGCGAAGGCAGCCCCCUGGGUCAAGAUUGACGCUCAUGCACGGAAGCGUGGGGAGCAAACAGG